UUAAGUUCAGCGGGUAGUCUUACUUGAUUUGAGAUCGAGUUGAACAACACAUAAAGUGUCGUAAAAUCCUGCAUCAGUCAGCAAUGAGGACAAUUAUCCUUUAUGUUAGCUGCAGCAAUAGUAAUAAUCCUGUUUGACGAGGACUAAAUAGAUAUGCUUUUAGCUCAGAAGAUGUGUCCAGCCGCACCUGCAUUUCAAGU
rnacentral:misc_RNA from 1 species